GGGCCUAUAGCUCAGCUUGGCAGAGCCACCGGCUCAUAACCGGUAGGUCCCUGGUUCGAUCCCAGGUGGGCCCA
rnacentral:tRNA from 1 species